AACGAACGCUGGCGGCGUGCCUAACACAUGCAAGUCGAACGGAGAUAAGAAGCUUGCUUCUUAUUUUAGUGGCGCACGGGUGAGUAACGCGUGGAUAAUCUACCUGAUGCUCUGGGAUAACAUCUCGAAAGGGGUGCUAAUACCGGAUAAGCCCACGAUCUCUUCGGAGAAUGCGGGAAAAGGAGGGGACCUUCGGGCCUUCCGACGUCAGAUGAGUCCGCGUCCCAUUAGCUAGUUGGCCGGGUAAUGGCCCACCAAGGCUACGAUAGGUAGCUGGUCUGAGAGGAUGAUCUGCCACACUGGAACUGAGACACGGUCCAGACUCCUACGGGAGGCAGCAGUGGGGAAUUUUGCGCAAUGGGGGAAACCCUGACGCAGCAACGCCGCGUGAGUGAUGAAGGCUUUCGGGUCGUAAAGCUCUGUCAGAAGGGAAGAAAUGUAGGUGGCUAAUAUCCAUUCUACUUGACGGUACCUUCAAAGGAAGCACCGGCUAACUCCGUGCCAGCCGCCGCCGUAACAC
rnacentral:rRNA from 1 species